AUGAACCCAGAUGGGAUUAGCUAGUAGGAGAGGUAAUGGCUCCCCUAGGCGACGAUCCCUAGCUGGUCUGAGAGGAUAACCAGCCACACUGGAACUGAGAGACGGUCCAGACUCCUACGGGAGGCAGCAGUGGGGAAUAUUGCACAAUGGGCGCAAGCCUGAUGCAGCCAUGCCGCGUGUGUGAAGAAGGCCUUCGGGUUGUAAAGCACUUUCAGCGAGGAGGAAUGAAGCAAUGCAAAGAGUGUUGCUAAUGGACGUUACUCGCAGAAGAAGCACCGGCUAACUCCGUGCCAGCAGCCGCGGUAAUACGGAGGGUGCGAGCGUUAAUCGGAAUUACUGGGCGUAAAGGGCACGUAGGCGGUUUCUUAAGUCAGAUGUGAAAUCCCCGAGCUUCACUUGGGAACGGCAUUUGAAACUGAGAGUCUAGAGUUUUGUAGAGGGGGGUAGAAUUCCAGGUGUAGCGGUGAAAUGCGUAGAUAUCUGGAGGAAUACCGGUGGCGAAGGCGGCCCCCUGGACAGAGACUGACGCUGAGGUGCGAAAGCGUGGGUAGCAAACAGGAUUAGAUACCCUGGUAGUCCACGCUGUAAACGAUGUCGAUUUGUAGGUUGUGGUUAUAAACUGUGGCUUGCGGAGCAAACGCGUUAAAUCGACCGCCUGGGGAGUACGGCCGCAAGGUUAAAACUCAAAUGAAUUGACGGGGGCCCGCACAAGCGGUGGAGCAUGUGGUUUAAUUCGAUGCAACGCGAAGAACCUUACCUACUCUUGACAUCCAGAGGAGUCGACAGAGAUGUUGACGUGCCCUUCGGGGAGCUUUGAGACAGGUGCUGCAUGGCUGUCGUCAGCUCGUGUUGUGAAAUGUUGGGUUAAGUCCCGCAACGAGCGCAACCCUUAUCUUUUGUUGCCAGCACGUAGAGGUGGGAACUCAAGAGAGACUGCCGGUGAUAAACCGGAGGAAGGUGGGGAUGACGUCAAGUCAUCAUGGCCCUUACGAGUAGGGCUACACACGUGCUACAAUGGCGUAUACAAAGAGAAGCGAGCCUGCGAGGGUGAGCGGACCUCAUAAAGUACGUCGUAGUCCGGAUUGGAGUCUGCAACUCGACUCCAUGAAGUCGGAAUCGCUAGUAAUCGUGGAUCAGAAUGCUACGGUGAAUACGUUCCCGGGCCUUGUACACACCGCCCGUCACACCAUGGGAGUGUUUUGCAAAAGAAGUAGGUAGCUUA
rnacentral:rRNA from 1 species